GGGGCGGCUUACACAUGCAGUCGAGCGGGGGAGAUUGCUUCGGUAAUUGACCUAGCGGCGGACGGGUGAGUAAUACUUAGGAAUCUGCCUAUUAAUGGGGGACAACAUCUCGAAAGGGAUGCUAAUACCGCAUACGCCCUACGGGGGAAAGCAGGGGAUCACUUGUGACCUUGCGUUAAUAGAUGAGCCUAAGUCGGAUUAGCUAGUUGGUGGGGUAAAGGCCUACCAAGGCGACGAUCUGUAGCGGGUCUGAGAGGAUGAUCCGCCACACUGGGACUGAGACACGGCCCAGACUCCUACGGGAGGCAGCAGUGGGGAAUAUUGGACAAUGGGGGGAACCCUGAUCCAGCCAUGCCGCGUGUGUGAAGAAGGCCUUAUGGUUGUAAAGCACUUUAAGCGAGGAGGAGGCUCUCUUGGUUAAUACCCAAGAUGAGUGGACGUUACUCGCAGAAUAAGCACCGGCUAACUCUGUGCCAGCAGCCGCGGUAAUACAGAGGGUGCGAGCGUUAAUCGGAUUUACUGGGCGUAAAGCGUGCGUAGGCGGCUUUUUAAGUCGGAUGUGAAAUCCCCGAGCUUAACUUGGGAAUUGCAUUCGAUACUGGGAAGCUAGAGUAUGGGAGAGGAUGGUAGAAUUCCAGGUGUAGCGGUGAAAUGCGUAGAGAUCUGGAGGAAUACCGAUGGCGAAGGCAGCCAUCUGGCCUAAUACUGACGCUGAGGUACGAAAGCAUGGGGAGCAAACAGGAUUAGAUACCCUGGUAGUCCAUGCCGUAAACGAUGUCUACUAGCCGUUGGGGCCUUUGAGGCUUUAGUGGCGCAGCUAACGCGAUAAGUAGACCGCCUGGGGAGUACGGUCGCAAGACUAAAACUCAAAUGAAUUGACGGGGGCCCGCACAAGCGGUGGAGCAUGUGGUUUAAUUCGAUGCAACGCGAAGAACCUUACCUGGUCUUGACAUAGUAAGAACUUUCCAGAGAUGGAUUGGUGCCUUCGGGAACUUACAUACAGGUGCUGCAUGGCUGUCGUCAGCUCGUGUCGUGAGAUGUUGGGUUAAGUCCCGCAACGAGCGCAACCCUUUUCCUUAUUUGCCAGCACUUCGGGUGGGAACUUUAAGGAUACUGCCCGUGACAAACUGGAAGAAAGCGGGGAC
rnacentral:rRNA from 1 species